ensembl:lncRNA
GUCAUGUGUUUAGGUGGAGGUGAUGGGGUAAGGUCAUGUGUAUAGGUGGAGGUGACGGUGUAGUGUCAUGUGUUUAGCUGACGGUGUAAUGUCAUGUGUUUAGCUGACGGUGUAGUGUCAUGUGUUUAGGUGACGGUGUAUCGUCAUGUGUUUAGGUGACGGUGUAUCGUCAUGUGUUUAGGUGACGGUGUAUCGUCAUGUGUUUAGGUGACGGUGUAUCGUCAUGUGUUUAGGUGGAGGAGAGGAUGUAGUGUCAUGUGUUUAGAUGGAGGUGACGUGUAAUAUCAUGUGUUUAGGUGGCGGUUAAUGGUCAUGUGUUUAGGUGGAGGUGACUGUGUAGUGUCAUGUUUAG